GACGAACGCUGGCGGCGUGCUUAACACAUGCAAGUCGAACGGAAAGGCCCUGCUUUUGUGGGGUGAUCGAGUGGCGAACGGGUGAGUAACACGUGAGUAACCUGCCCUUGACUUUGGGAUAACUUCAGGAAACUGGGGCUAAUAUCGGAUAGGAGCUCCUGCUGCAUGGUGGGGGUUGGAAAGUUUCGGCGGUUGGGGAUGAACUCGCGGCUUAUCAGCUUGUUGGUGGGGUAGUGGCUUACCAAGGCUUUGACGGGUAGCCGGCCUGAGAGGGUGACCGGCCACAGUGGGCUUGAGGUACGGCCCAGACUCCUUCUGGGGGCAGCAGUGGGGAAUAGUGCACAAUGGGCGGAGGCCUGAUGCAGCAACGCCGCGUUCGGGAUGACGGCCUUCGGGUUGUAAACCGCUUUCGCCUGUGACGAAGCGUGAGUGACGGUAAUGGGUAAAGAAGCACCGGCUAACUACGU
rnacentral:rRNA from 1 species